rnacentral:rRNA from 1 species
UACGUAGGGGGCAAGCGUUGUCCGGAUUUAUUGGGCGUAAAGAGCGUGUAGGCGGCCAUACAGGUCAGCUGUGAAAACUCGAGGCUCAACCUCGAGACGUCGGUUGAAACCGUAUGGCUAGAGUCCGGAAGAGGAGAGUGGAAUUCCCGGUGUAGCGGUGAAAUGCGCAGAUAUCGGGAAGAACACCUAUGGCGAAGGCAGCUCGCUGGGACGUGACUGACGCUGAGACGCGAAAGCGUGGGGAGCAAACAGG